UACAGAGGUCCCAAGCGUUGUUCGGAUUCAUUGGGCGUAAAGGGUGUGUAGGUGGCGCCGUAAGUCGGGUGUGAAAUUUCGGAGCUUAACUCCGAAACUGCAUUCGAUACUGCCUUGCUCGAGGACUGGAGAGGAGAUUGGAAUUCACGGUGUAGCAGUGAAAUGCGUAGAUAUCGUGAGGAAGACCAGUGGCGAAGGCGGAUCUCUGGACAGUUCCUGACACUGAGGCACGAAGGCCAGGGGAGCAAACGGG
rnacentral:rRNA from 1 species